rnacentral:rRNA from 1 species
CGGCGAGUGGCGACGGGUGAGUAAUAUAUCGGAACGUGCCCGUUAGUGGGGGAUAGCCCGGCGAAAGCCGGAUUAAUACCGCAUACGACCUGAGGGUGAAAGCGGGGGAUCGCCAGACCUCGCGCUAUUGGAGCGGCCGAUAUCAGAUUAGCUAGUUGGUGGGGUAAAGGCCUACCAAGGCAACGAUCUGUAGUUGGUCUGAGAGGACGAUCAGCCACACUGGGACUGAGACACGGCCCAGACUCCUACGGGAGGCAGCAGUGGGGAAUUUUGGACAAUGGGCGCAAGCCUGAUCCAGCAAUGCCGCGUGCAGUGAAGAAGGCCUUCGGGUUGUAAACUGCUUUUGUCAGGGAAGAAAUCCUUUGGGUUAAUACCUCGAAGGGAUGACGGUACCUGAAGAAUAAGCACCGGCUAACUACGUGCCAGCAGCCGCGGUAAUACGUAGGGUGCGAGCGUUAAUCGGAAUUACUGGGCGUAAAGCGUGCGCAGGCGGCUUUGCAAGACAGAGGUGAAAUCCCCGGGCUCAACCUGGGAACUGCCUUUGUGACUGCAAGGCUAGAGUACGGCAGAGGGGGAUGGAAUUCCGCGUGUAGCAGUGAAAUGCGUAGAUAUGCGGAGGAACACCGAUGGCGAAGGCAAUCCCCUGGGCCUGUACUGACGCUCAUGCACGAAAGCGUGGGGAGCAAACAGGAUUAGAUAC